CGGCUCAGUAACACGUGGAUAACCUACCCUCAGAUCUGGGAUAACUCCGGGAAACUGGAGAUAAUACCGGAUAGUCCGUGAACGCUGGAAUGCCUCACGGUUGAAAGCUUUUGCGUCUGAGGAUGGGUCUGCGGCCGAUUAGGUAGUUGCUGGGGUAACGUCCCAACAAGCCGAUAAUCGGUACGGGUUGUGAGAGCAAGAGCCCGGAGAUGGAUUCUGAGACACGAAUCCAGGUCCUACGGGGCGCAGCAGGCGCGAAAACUUUACACUGCGCGAAAGCGCGAUAAGGGGACCUCGAGUGCGUGCGCAAUGCGUACGCUUUUCAGAUGCCUAAAAAGCAUGUGGAAUAAGGGCCGGGCAAGACCGGUGCCAGCCGCCGCGGUAACACCGGCGGCUCAAGUGGUGGCCGCUAUUAUUGGGCUUAAAGGGUCCGUAGCCGGACCAGUUAGUCCCUUGGGAAAUCUUACGGCUUAACCGUAAGGCUGCCAAUGGAUACUGCUGGUCUUGGGACCGGGAGAGGUAAGAGGUACCUCAGGGGUAGGAGUGAAAUCCUGUAAUCCUUGAGGGACCGCCAGUGGCGAAGGCGUCUUACUAGAACGGGUCCGACGG
rnacentral:rRNA from 1 species